ensembl:lncRNA
AGAAAACCAUCUUUCCAAGAGGUGGCAGGUUUAGAAGCAUGGGCUAUUGGAGAUGAGGAUGAAAAGCCUUGACAAGAAUUUUACUUGAAUUUCAAACUCCUUGGAAGAAUGACCUAAAACAUUUUUGGGUUAUGUAUGUAUUAUCUUUUUAAGGUCUGAUGCAGAACAAGAAUUGAUGAUGUAAUUGCAUCGCUCUGUCCCCCAGCCCAGCGUUUGGCCUUUGGUGCUGCCCCCUGGCAUGGGGGUAUUUCCCAUUCCACCUCCUGGGAGGACGAACAUCCUCACAGGGGCAUCCGAGAGUCCAGAGCCCCUGGCCUGGGACAGCAAGGCACAGGACAAGCGAGCCUGCAGGCCUUCCCAGGUCCUGUACCUCUGUGGUCACCCUGCCAUCUGAGUGUAAUGGGUCUCAGUCUCGGGGAGCUUAGGCCAGUCCUUCCCACUGUGGGUUGAGUCCAGGACUGGAGGAGAAGACAAUACAAUCAGGUCGAUACUUGUCGGGGUGUGGCUGUGGCUGAGGGCAGAAUCAGUGCCCCAUCAGCCUGGGUCUACAACGUGAACUUCUUUUAUCUUCAGAAGAGCACAAAACUGAUCACCUAAAAUAACAAAGUUAGACAAGAUUUCUAAUGGUUUGCUUGUUUCAUCAUGAGAGGAUGUGACUUAGGCUGUCCUAUUUUCCAGGUGUAUGUGUUGUGAAAUCGAGUGACAGUGAACAGUGCAAGUUACCACUGAGUGUGAACGAUCUCUGUGUUAAAGAGUGUGCACUGAGCAAGCCUUCCUGCUCAGCUGGGCCGCAGUAAGGCUGCUGAUGCUUUUCUUCUUCCUUGAAUUACCACCGAGAGGAAUUUUUUCCCGGGAGGAUUUCUUUCCAGAUUUAGGUAAGAAGGUGGUCACUGUCCGUGUCUUUCAGUGGAUCCCUGAAGUGCCCCGGAGGUGGCUGAGCUGAGCCGGCAGGGCCGCGGCUGUACCGUGCCAUCUCUGUGUGGUGGACGCGGAGCUGAGGGCUGCAGAGAAGAUGCCUCUGGUGAGUUUACAGUUGAUAUUUACACCCAUUCUCUAAAGGUUUCCCUUCUUUUUCUUCAUAAGAAAUUAUCCAGCUGUGACCACGUGUUGAAUGGCAAAACAAGAUCCAGGAGUGGGGUUUAGGGAGAGGAGCUGGUGGUACCCCCUUACAUUUCAAAGCCAUGAACAUCCGUUUCCAGUCCAAGUGCAGACAAAUGAGCCCUUUGAGCUACCGACUGACCAAGCUCAUGGGCCUGAGAUGGGCUUUCAGCGCUGCUGGACUAGACCAGUCUCAUCUGACCCGACAGCUUGUACUGGUUCUGUUUGCUGUCCUCAAAAGAUGGAGCACCUAGCACAGACGUUUGCAUGAAAAGGGGCACCUCCUAGGGCUGACAAGCCAGCCUGUCACAUCCUAUUUCGGCAGAAGUCGUGAGACUCUGGGCAAGACACAGGAUGCUGUGACCCACAGCGAGAACGGUGCUAGAGCUUAUCCUUCUUUUGUGGUGGGUCCCCCUCCCCUCCCUUCCCCAGGACCCUCCCGAGGGUGCCUUCACCGGCAGAGGGCAGCUCUAUAGAAGCAGAACCCUAGCUUAUGCUUCCUAAACGGGGGGGGAAAAAAAGAGAAG